CUUGAAACUGGGAGACUUGAGUGCAGGAGAGGAGAGUGGAAUUCCUAGUGUAGCGGUGAAAUGCGUAGAUAUUAGGAGGAACACCAGUUGCGAAGGCGGCUCUCUGGACUGUAACUGACGCUGAGGCACGAAAGCGUGGGGAGCAAACAGGAUUAGAUACCCUGGUAGUCCACGCUGUAAACGAUGAGUACUAGGUGUCGGGGGUUACCCCCUUCGGUGCCGCAGCUAACGCAUUAAGUACUCCGCCUGGGAAGUACGCUCGCAAGAGU
rnacentral:rRNA from 1 species